AAAAAAGAGAGGGAUAAUUGAAAACAAAGAAAGUCUUAAAGGAGAGGGAACCGAAAUUUUCAUUCCCUCUGUUAUCUCCCUCAAAUAUUUUCCCCUUUUUAUUUCAGUCAAAAACAAAAACUAUCAUACUUCUAUCUCUCGCAGCCCCAUGUCUAUCAUCGCCGCCGUAGAUACUCUCAUCGCCGCCCUUGCUGCUCUUCAUCCUUCGAACCCAAAUCUACAGUGAGGGGUGCUAUUACGAAAAUCUUCAAAGAAAAUUUUCAAGGUGCAUGGUCAUGUUGGAGUGCUGUUGAUUCGACCACACAAGAUUUUUGAUUUGAAGACUUUAAGGUCAUUUUAUUAAGUAAUUGAGGCCAAAUACAAAUGGCUUGAAAAGGAUGAAGCUAGCAUUAAAAAAGCUUUAAUAGUAGGGGAACAUUGGCCCUGGAAAAUGCUUUGUUCAAGGUUCGUAGCGGUAAAGAUAAAGGUGAAUGGAUUGAUGAAGAUAAGUUAGAAGAAUUAAGGGAUCAAUGGAACGGUGAAACUUGGCAAAACAGAAAAUGAGGAUGAAAUUGAAUAGAGAGCCAACAUGUUUUGAGGUUUAUCAGAGAAUGCAUAAACCAAAGGAAAAAUCAAAUGAGUGGUUUAACAAAGAACAAACUCUUAUAGCUGAAAGUUACCAAAUUAAAUUGUUUGAGAGAAAUUCUCAAAUAGGUGAGGGUAGUAACCAACAAUCUGAUGAUAGUAUAUACAUGGAAGUUGUUGGAGGCAUUAACAAGAAGGGACACAUAUUUGGAUUGGGGAUCUCAAGCUGCCACUAUCAAAGAAUCUUUGAAAUUUUCUCCUUCAAUUUCUACUCAUGUGGUACAGUCAGAUAAAGUUGCUGCUACGGAGGCUAAGAUUGAAGCAUUAAUCGUUGAACUUGAGCAAAAUAAUCUUGAACAAGAAAUGUUAAAACAAAAGAUGGAGCAUUGUGAGCAGAUUUUUGGAAGGUUUGUGCCUAGUAUUAAUCAAAACUCUCCGGUUCAACUUGAAAGAGAAGGUGAUAAGGAAAAUUAUGAGAUCGAUGCUAAUGAAAAUGAUGUGAUGGAUGAUGAAUAUUAGCUUUAGUUACUUUCUUUUAUGUAUUUUUGUUAAAUCAAUUAUAUGAAUUUUUGUGUCUUUGACAAUUUUAGGUUUGAUAUUAUAUUUAGUGCAGUAGUGGUGCACUUGAUACUUUGUAAGAAUGACAUACAUUUGGUGUCAAUCGAAAUUUGAUUUUCUCA